rnacentral:rRNA from 1 species
AUGGUGGAAGGAUCAGCGAGCGACAUCACGAACUUGAAGUUUCUGCUGCUUUGCUUUCAGCAGAUGUCUGGCCUCAGGAUUAACCUCAAUAAAAGUGCGGUGAUGGUUUUGGGGUACUCCGACGACGAACAGCGGAGCAUCGCGGACCGGCUCAACUAUGCACUUGGGAGCUUCCCUAUGACUUAUUUGGGGAUACCCAUUAGUGACAUGAGACUCACGGUGGCCAAGUUGCGCCCCACGGUGGGCAAGCUCCAGCACCGCAUUGAGCCCUGGAAGGGGCGGUGGCUUUCUAAAGCUGCCCGGACUGUGCUUAUUAACUCGUCCCUUUCCAGCAUGCUACUAUUCAUAAUGAGCUUCUACAGCCUGCCUGUGACUCUACACCAUGAGAGUGCCAGGGUCCAGGGGCGCUUCUUCUGGGAUGGCGAGGGAGACAAGCAAAAGUACCACAUGGUUCGAUGGACUGAGAUCUGUAAGCCGCAUGAUCAGGGCGGUCUUGGGAUUAUGUCCGCUAAGCGGAUGAACACUCCCCUCCUGACUAGGUGGCUUUGGCGGAUUAUGAAUGGUGAGGGUGGCCUAUGGCUUCACAUCAUCUAG